AUGGCGUCCCUCCUCCUCGUGCUGCUGCAGCUGCUCGUGCACCGCGCGGCUGCCGACGAGCGGCAGCUUCUCAUGCAGAUCAAGCACACGUGGGGCGACCCGCCCGUGCUCGCGGCCUGGAGCAACGGCUCGGGAUCGGUCGACCACUGCUCCUGGCCUUACGUGACCUGCGACGUGCCGUCCGGGCGCGUCACCAGCCUCUCCCUCGCCAACACCAAAGUCACCGGCCCGUUCCCAGACGCCAUCGGCGGCCUCUCCGGCCUCACCAGCCUCAACCUCUUCAACAACAGCCUCACCGGCGCCUUCCCGACCAGCGUGUACCGCUGCGCUUCGCUACGGCACCUCGACCUGUCCUAUAACUACCUCCACGGCGAGCUCCCGGCCGGCAUUGGCCGUGCCCUCGGAGAGAACCUCACCUCUCUAAUUCUGAACGGCAACUGCUUCAGAGGUACCAUCCCCACCUCCUUGUCCCGGCUACGGAACUUGCGGUCGCUCGAGCUGGACAACAACUACCUCGCCGGCACCAUCCCGCCAGAGCUCGGGGACCUGACGGGCCUCCAGACGCUGACGCUCGGGUACAACUCGUUCGACGUGGGGGAGCUGCCGGCGUCGUUUAAGAACCUGACCAAGCUGAAAAUCUUGCGGGCGAGGAGUUCCAACCUCACCGGCGACUUCCCGAGCUAUGUGACGGAGAUGCCGGAGUUGGAGGUGCUCGGUCUCUCCAUCAACGCCUUGACAGGAAGUAUACCUCCGGGCCUCUGGAACCUCACCAAGUUACGACUUCUGACUAUAUAUGCAAACAACCUCACCGGCGAGGUCGUCGUCGGCGAUGGUGCUUUCGGCGCGUUGAAUUUGGUGACCAUCGACCUUUCCGCGAAUCACAAGCUAAGUGGGCCGAUUCCGGAAGCCUUUGCUCACUUGCCAAAGCUGGAAACGUUGAACUUGUUCUACAACAACUUCUCUGGUCAGAUACCUGAGGGUUUGUGCGAGAACAGCAAGUUGGAGUAUCUCAAUGUCGGACAAAACCUCUUGAGCGGCUCCAUCCCAGCAAGCCUCACUGGUUGCACCACACUCAAGCGAUUGAUACUUAGCAACAACAAGCUUUCUGGCAAUGUGCCUUUUUUUCUUUUAGAUAACUAUACUACACAAUUCUUUAGGUGUAUCAAAAGUGUAUAUAUGAGAAACAAACCUAUACUUUUAUAG
rnacentral:rRNA from 1 species